rnacentral:rRNA from 1 species
GAUGAACGCUAGCUACAGGCUUAACACAUGCAAGUCGAGGGGCAGCAUGGUCUUAGCUUGCUAAGGCCGAUGGCGACCGGCGCACGGGUGAGUAACACGUAUCCAACCUGCCGUCUACUCUUGGACAGCCUUCUGAAAGGAAGAUUAAUACAAGAUGGCAUCAUGAGUCCGCAUGUUCACAUGAUUAAAGGUAUUCCGGUAGACGAUGGGGAUGCGUUCCAUUAGAUAGUAGGCGGGUAACGGCCCACCUAGUCUUCGAUGGAUAGGGGUUCUGAGAGGAAGGUCCCCCACAUUGGAACUGAGACACGGUCCAAAACUCCUACGGGAGCAGCAGUGAGGAAUAUUGGUCAAUGGGCGAGAGCCUGAACCAGCCAAGUAGCGUGAGGAUGACUGCCCUAUGGUUGUAAACUG